rnacentral:tRNA from 1 species
AAAUAUCUAGUUUAAAAAACAUUAACUUGUGGUGUUAAAAUUUCUAAAAAUUA